GGACCACGACAGGAAGCAGCGGCAUUUCCUGAUGACGGUGGAGGGCGCUGCAGUCGCAGCUAUUGUAACAUCCAAGCGGCCGCUCGCUUUGAUCUGGUAGAAUGAUGAGCUCCCAGAUGACUUGAGGUUCGUGGCAGCGCCUGCAGGGGACGCUGCUGCGCUCGGGCCGGGAGCUGGGUCAGCGGAGUCUGCGCGCCCUGGAGCGGCCCAAGCAGAGGCGGCGAGGGCGGAGGCCCGGGGAAGAGGCUGCACCCAGCGUCUCCGCGCACAGUCCAGUUCCUUUCCCCGCCUGGAGAGGCGGCAGACGCGGGCGCGCAGAAUCUGGGAGGAGCCCAGACCGCUGGUUGCUUAGCAACGUGCACGGGAGUGUUAAUUAAAGCAGGCACAGGUUGCUGCUGCUGAUUAAGGACACCUCGCCUCCCCCCUUGACAUUGCGCAGUGACAAUCCCCCAAGUGUGUGGUUCCAGCCAGAUGAACAGAUCCGUGGGAAGGGGACAUGCCUGCGCCUAGAGAACACUGGGUGAAAUAAGCCCUCCAUAAUCAAAGGAGAAACGUGGAACCUGGCCCUGUGUGGGCAAGUUCAACGUUCUGUGCAGAUAGAUACUGGAUUCCUUUUUUUCAAAAUACAUAUCCUCUUGCUGACUGUGACUCACUGUAAUAAUUACUGCUGUGUCACAAAAGCCCCUGGAACGUAGUUUUAAA
rnacentral:lncRNA from 1 species